rnacentral:rRNA from 1 species
AAUUAAAUUUUAUGGUAUAAACACUCGAAUCAAUUAGAAUUAUAAAAGCAUUUUUAAACUCAGUAAAGGGGAUUAAAGCUUAUUUUAUUGUACCUAAAAAAAGUACUGUGAAGGAAGUAUAAUAAAUUAUAUUAAAGAAAAAAUUAAAAUUUGUACCUUUUGCAUCAUGGUUUAACUAGAUAUCUAUUUUAUAUUAAAUAUCUCGAAAUCCAAUGAGUUAUCUUUAUCCAAUUUAUUAGAAAAAGGGAUUAAUUGUGGCAAAAAUUUUCCUAGAAAUAAAGAUGGUAAUGAAAUUUUAUUCGUAUUGGAUGAUAGCUAGUUCUUCUAAAAAGCAUAUAAGUGCCUUAAACUAGUUUUUACUUCUAUAAUAAAAUAGAAUAAAUUUUAGUUUAAUUAAAUUUUUGAGGAUAAGCUCGAAAAUUAUUAAUUAAUUUGUGUAUUAUUUAAAUUAAAAUUUAAGCUUGAAAAUAGCUAUAAUUUUGAAUUUGUUACAAUUUCAUUAACUUUGUAAAAAAUAAUUGAUUUACUUAAUACUUAAAUGAAGAAAACUUAGUAAUUAGAAUAAGCUGAACUUAUGUUAAAAUGAGUAUUAAUUAAUCUAUAAAUUUUAAUAUUAUAUAUUUUAGAACUAAUAUUUUUAUAAUAAUUUUAAAUCAUAAAAAGGAACUCGGCAAACAUAGAUUCUGCCUGUUUAGCAAAAAACAUCGCUCCUUGUACAUAAUACAUAAGGAGUCGGACCUGCCCAGUGAAUUUUUUUAACGGCCGCGGUACUCUGACCGUGCAAAGGUAGCAUAAUAAUUUGCCUUAUAAUUGAAGGCUAGUAUGAAUGGUUUGACAAGAAUGUAGCUGUCUCUUUAUGAUUAAAUAGAAUUUUAUCUGUAGGUGAAGAAGCCUAUAUUAGAUUAAAAGACAAGAAGACCCUAUCGAGCUUUAAAGAAACUAAGAGAUUAAAACAUUAAUAACUCUAAAAAAUUAACUAUUAGAAAUUUUAGCUGGGGCGCCUGAGGAACAAAAAAGCUUCCUUUAAAAUUAAAGACUAAACAAGUAUUGAUCCAAAACAUUUUGAUUAAAGGAAUUAGUUACCGUAGGGAUAACAGCAUUAUCUUUUUUGAGAGCUCCUAUCGAAAAAAAGGUUUGUGACCUCGAUGUUGGACUAGAAUAUCCUAAAGAUGCAGCAGUCUUUAAGGGUUGGUCUGUUCGCCCAUUAAAAUUCUACAUGAUCUGAGUUCAGACCGGCGUGAGCCAGGUCAGUUUCUAUCUUUAAUUUACUAAAUAAACUUAGUACGAAAGGACCAGUUUAUUGUAAUUUUAUUACUUUAACAUGAUUAAAUAUAAUACGUAAUUUAAUAU